UUGAUGGGUUGGUGCGAGAGAACGGGAGCGUGGGAAGAGAGAUGUGUGGGGACCAGGGGCACCCCUUGCUAAGGACCCGUUGAGCCAAUUGUUGGCUCAGGGCUGAUUUGGAGUCAGAGAUGCCAAAGUGGAGAAAAGACUGGAGAUGCUGGUUUUCCAAGAUCUGAGAUGGAAACUGUGAAACUGAACAACAGGCUCUUACAAUUCCACCACCUGACAUUUUUUUGGAUCAAAUUGCUGGCCGGGAUGUUCAGCAAUUGAACUAGUUUCCUUCCAGGCCACUGUCUCUUAUCUUUGUUCUCUGUUCUCCCUAUGACUGUACUUCCUUCCUGUAACCACAGUUGAUGAUAUUAGGGGUGGAGGAGAUCCUGGAGAUCCUCCCGUGCAGCCCCCUUCAGUUAGAUAUGAAGAUGUAAGCCUCACAGAGGCAAUGACUUCUUCAAGGUCACACAGCAAGCUGGUGGAGGAGCCGGGACCAGCAGACCAGAUCCUGAAUCCCAGGCCAAAGCUGUCUUCUCUAAUGGAUCACUGGUUCAACCUGUGGAAUUCAGAAAAGUUAACUUCUGCUGAAGCAGCUGCCUCCGAGGGUGCUCAGAAAGUAACGGUGUGCGUCCAUUUGCCAGAGAGAAAUGGCAAGGAAAAGAACUCACAGCACUGAGAGAAGAAAUGUCAGAUAAACCUUCAAUUAUUCUUCUGUAGGAAAACUGAAAUGAACAUAGCACGUGACACCAAAUUAAGUGAUUUGACUUGAAGCUACCGUCAUUCACGUCUUCUGGGUUUUCUCCCCUUCAAAAAAUAAGGUACCCGCGCUGGGAAGACAGCAGCUCAGCCCUUGCGAGGCUCCGCUUGAAAAGACACCCAGAUUCCCAGGCCUCACAAGGCUAAUGAAUCUAAAGUUUGCAGAAAGCUGCAUUUGGAGAUUCGGUCCUUAUUAUUUGUGUGCGGAUGGAAGAAACGCGCAGCCCAGAUCUGAUGUCAAGAGCUUUGGGAGCUUUUGUGAAGCACUUGGCAGAUAUGGAAACCAGCAGGCGUCUGUGCUGGCCUUAGCAGGACGGGCUUCCAUCGGUGCUCAGG